CGGGGAGUACAUGAACUCCGGCUCUGGAGCUGGUACUGGAGGGAGGGUCAACUGGCCCGGUUAUCGUGUUAUAACGAGUGCGGUGGAGGCCGGGAAGUUUACGGUUGGGAACUUUUUGGCCGGGGAUUCGUGGAUUCCGGGGACCGGAGUUCCAUAUACAGCUGGUCUAUGAUAAUGCAUGCAUGUGGUUGUGGAGAGAAGUUGUUUGACUUGUUAAGGAGGGACUUGUCACACUUGUGUAUUGUUGUGUGCGGAUAGUGACCUAAAGUGAAAAUCGUCACAUAGCUUGUUUUUAGCUUCCUUUUGGUAAUUAUAUCCCGUUUAUCCCUCCUGUAAUGCAGUAAAUAUUUUCAAACUAUUACUUAAUGUUAUUACGUGGUGUUAUUAAUAGAUAACUCGUUUAAAAGUGCUUAUAAAAUAAGUAAAAGUACUUUUGAUGCAAAUAUUUUUGGAACUAAUCCUUGAUAAAUAUGUAGGUGAAUCCUGAAAAGGCAAUUCAAGUGCUUUUAAAACUCAAAAAUAUUUUUUCUAAAACGUUUUCAAUCAUUUUAAAAACAGUUACAAACAUACCAUGAUACGUUAUCACAUAAUGGUAUUAACAAUAUUGGGUCAACAAUGCCCUUCCUUUCAUCAAAAGAUUUGGGAGGCCAGCAUCCAGUUGAGCGCUGGGCAUACUGACGCCCGAGCUUGUCAAGAAAACUUUGAGUUCGUGAACGAUGGGCCUAUCAAGACCGAAGUGUCUAAUCGAGUGAAAAUUUUUAUUAAGCUUGCGGGCAUUGCGCUUGAGCUCCUUGUUAAAGUUGAAAAAGGGACAGUGCUCUGAUCAUAAUGCACUUACGGUCGUUGGAAAGGUUGAAAUUGUCAAUUAGUGAGAGAAUUAAUAAAAAUAAAUUGAGGUCUAAAUACUUCAAAUGGAUACUUUGGAUGCGAUCCCUAACUUUAACAUUUUUUUAUUAAAACCUUCAUAAUAUUCAAAGUUUGAUCAAAGUCCCUUGACUUUGUACACCUCAUUAUAUUACUAUUAAUAUUUAUAUUUUCAUAGUUUUGAUAUUAAUUGUUUGAUAUUUUAUAAGAUUUAUAAUCCUAUAAAUUUAAAACCCCUCAUUAUAAUACUAUUAAAAACGGUUACAACAAAAAAAUUCAAACAUUUUGAUUUAAUAAAUAGAUAAAAACUAUGUAAAAAUAAGAAAUAAGAAAUGGCAAAAGAAUGUAUCCAUAGUGUUAAAAAAAUUGGUACAUUUUACAAAAAAAAAAGGUACAUUUCACAUAUAACAAAGUGGUACAUUAAUAAAGAAUAAUGGAUACAUUAUAAAACUAAAAAGAAAAUGCUACAAAUGAAUUUUUAGGGUACAGAUAAAAGAUUAAAAAAUUAUGAGUACAAAUGAUAUUUUUUUUAAAUAUAGGUGCUAAAAAAUUAAUACAUGGGUACAAAAUAAAACUAAAAACAAAAUACUACAAAUUUAAAAAAAAAUGUUGCAAAUUAAAAGUGGGUACAAACUAAAAAUAUAAAUGUAUGAUACAAAGUUUAGGCAUAAAACAUAAAUAUACCAUAUGCAAUUUUUCUAUCAUUGGUUAAAUAUAUAAUGUCACGUGACGGUAUACACAUGGGUACAAACACAAAUAAAACUUUAAAAAAUUGGGCACAAAAAGAAACUAAUAUAUGGGUACAAAUUAAAAAUGAAAAGAAAAUUGGUACAAAUUAAAAAAUAUUUGCAAAUUAAAAAAAGGUACAAACUAAAAAUAAAAAUAUAUGAUAAAAAAUUUAGCCAUAAAUAUAAAUAUACUGAUUGUAACAUUUUUAACACUAAAUGAAUAUAUUUAAAAAUAAAAAUAUUUUAUUAUUCAAAUAAUUAAUGAUGUUAUUAAUACCCAAGGAUCUUGAUCAAAAAUUGAAAAUGAAUAGGAUUUUAAUCAAUGGAGUAACAAAAAGAAGGAUGUGAAUCUAAUUUUCCCUACUUCAAAUCUUAACGUCGGUUUGUAUUUUUUUUCCUUGAUUGUGUCGUCUUAUAAAAAGAUUAUAUAGUAGCAAGGAAGACAAUUUAAUCCUAUAUAUAGGUUAAUCCUGUAUACAGGUUAUAGUUUAAAUCCUAGUUUAUCAUCAGUUUGUAUUUUCUUGCUUGAUCGUGAUAUCUUACGUAAAAUAAAAUAAAAAUAAAAAGAAAAAAAGAAAACAUAUGUGUAUUCUUAUAAUGAAAAAUAAGAUUACCUAUAAUUAAUACAUUAAAAUGAAACUAAAGCAUACGUAUAUUCUUAGAAUGAAAAAUAAGCAUAUGUAUAUCCUUCUAUUUCAGAACAGUUUUGUUUGUACCAUACUUGACCAAUCCCGAAACUACUGAGCACCGGUCAACGUUAUACCGUCAAGGACCCAGAAGAGUUUCCCUCCAACCAGGAGGCCAAUCAUAGCGCGACACGUGUUGACAUCAGAAGCCAAUCAUAGCACGACACGUGUCAACAUCAGAAGCCAAUCAUAACACGGCACGUGUCAAUGUCAGAAUGAAACUAGAAAUUUUCUUCUAUAAAUAGAGAUCAUUCUCUCACAAUAUUUCCUAAUGUCAUUUGUACUAAAUCAUUCACUAGUACUCAUUAAAGGAAAGCUUAAACCUAUAUGUACUUGUGUAAACCCUUCACAAUUAAUGAGAACUCCUCAACUCCGUGGACGUAGCCAAUCUGGGUGAACCACGUACAUCUUGUGUUUGCUUCCCUAUCCCUAUCCAUUUACAUACUUAUCCACACUAGUGACCGGAGCAAUCUAGCGAAGGUCAUAAACUUAACACUUUUUGUUGUACCAAAGUCCUCACUGAUUUUGUGCAUUAACAUUUGGCGCCGCCUGUGGGAACGACACUUAUUCCCACUCUUUUCAGCUUUGCUAAGUUGGUUUCCACCAUUCGUACACUCUCUUUUGACCAGGCAUCCCUCUCCAACAUGGGGAGCGAAGGAAGCCACAGCACACAGAAUGACACCUCUCUUACUCCUAAUGUGAAGCAACGAAAAAAUGAAGGAAAUAGGGUUGCUCUUCAAGCUAAAGUCGAUGAGCUAGAAGCUCAGAACAACAAGAUAACAAUGAAGAAUGAGGUCCUCCAGGAGCAAUAUGAGAAGCUCUUUGAGACGUUCCACGAAACUAGGCGUACUCAAACACGCGAGCUCGUUGCCCCUGUGGACAUCAACCAUCAUCUGGGUGCCCCCCAACACGAAGGGUCACCUCCCUUCAACAUGGGUAUCCCUGAUGAAGAAUGAGCUAAUCAUCAAAACAUUGAUAAACAUGAGACUUCUCUCAACCCAGAUGCUUCGACCCGAAGUAGAAGAAGUGGAGGAAGACACCUCUUUGCAGAAGGGUUGGAAGGAUCGAAAGCCAUUUAUUGUGACUGCCGAGACUUUCUAAAGUAACGUCGAGAGAAUCCCCUCCAUAUAUGCUCGAAGAUCAAUGACCCAAGGGUUUCUGAAAGACUCGGUCCCCUCCUACGACCCAGGCCAGCUGCUAAUCUAGGGAAGGAACGACAGGUCCCAGAGGAACAUGAAGGUACGGAGGACUCUGAGGUAUUCCGACAGACUUACCCUAGAAGUCAGUACAGUGAGUCCAAGAAAAAACCACACGCCCUUACUCAAACUUUCCUACUUCCAAGAGGCGAUGGAGACUUACCAAAGAAAAUUCCAGUGGUACAUGACUCCACUCAGGACCUCAUUUUCCUACAGCUCAUUGAGGAAGUAAACAAGUUGAAGGCCGAACGUCAGGCCGAGAUACCUGACUGGAACCAACCCAAGCCUGGCCCUUUCACAAGAAUGAUUCUCGACACCCCCUUCAAGCGAAGACAAAACAAAAGCUUGGUUUACAACUCUAUACUGGAAGGGAUGACCCAAUUGAACACCUUAACCUCUUUGAGUUCACCAUGGCAUAUUGGAUGCACACCGACGAAGAACAAUGUCUUCUCUUCCCAUCCACCCUCUUUGGCGGAGCUCUAAAUUGGUAUUGUCGUUUUCCACCUGAGACAGUAGACUCAUUUAAAGAAUUGAUGAAACUGUUUGUCUCUCAACACAUCUUCCAGACCAAUCACUUACAUUCUGCAGAUGACUUGUACAUUAUUCGCCAGAAGCGGGACAAGUUAUUACGAGAGUAUGCCGGUCGCUUUAGCCAUGAGUAUUCUCGCUGCGCUGAGGCAGAUGACAAGACUGCCCUCAAGGCUUUCACGGCAGGCCUACGUGAUUGUUUCUUCAAGUACAUGAUCAAUGCCAACACUUGGAAGACUUACUCUGAGGUGAUGGCACAGGUUUACAACCACGUCUUCACUGAAGCAAGGACAUACCAAGGGAACCCCUAUCAACAAAUGGGAAAUGGAAGUCAAGUUCUACCAAGUGAGGAGAUAUUGGCAAUUCAGACACCCAUUGCAUCAUCUCCUGCCUCAUUUAGCUACUCGUUAAGUCACCAAACGUAUCUGUCUCUUGGUAAGAGGAAUUAUUUUUACUCUCAGCAAGCUUAUUACAACAAGAGGGAUAAAAGUUCGUAUCAAGACAACCAGGGGUGAACGUACCGUCAACUAUUAUGACUAUGGGGCCAAGCCUCACUCUUUCAAAGUGGAGGACUAGGUACUGAAGGAAAUACUAUUAUAAGAAGGCAUACACAUUAAAAAUGUUUUAACUCUCAACCGCUUCAGAUCUUUUGUCACACAAGUCAUUCGGCAAAUAUUUAAAGAAGAGGGAAUUUAGACAACUUCUUCUGAGUCUUUUGCGUUCCUAGCACUGGAACACUUGGUCUACGCUGACCUACCCUUAUACUUCAACUCAGAGCUUCAACAUGCGUACUUUGACACAAAGUAUGUGAUACUAAAUGUUACAACCAACAUGGUUCACAUAUCAAAAGCAUGGAUCCCUUCAUGCAUAGCAAAACAUUCAUAAACAGAACUUAUAUCAAUCAACAUAAACAUUAUACAUUCCAACACAUUCAUACAUAAACAUCAUACAUUCCAACACAUUCAUACAUAAACACCAUACAUUCCAACGCAUUCAUACAUAAGCCAACUGUGCUUCAAAAGGGUUCAACAUACUUUGUGUCUUCGACACUUGCUACAAUGUGCCUCGACACCUUGCCCUUAUUCUUACCAACCAGGUGAUGAAAUGUGAAUAAGGAACUCAUCUUCAUGCCACAAACUAAGUGAUUAAAUGUACAACCUGUACUCUCCUUCAUGCCACAAACUAGGUGAUGAAUUGUACAACCCGUAUUCUAAUAUCAUUUGGCAACUUGCCACUCAUGCCACCAACCAGGUGAAGAAGGAACUUAUCUUCGUGCCACCAACCAGGUGAUGAAAUGUACAACCCGUACUCUCAUUCAUGCCACCAACUAGGUGAUGAAAUGUACAACCCGUACUCUAAUAUCAUUUGGCAACUUGCCACUCAUGCCACCAACCAGGUGAAGAAUGAACUCAUCUUCAUGCCACAAACUAGGUGAUGAAAUGUACAACCCGUACUCUAAUAUCAUUUGGCAACUUGCCACUCAUGCCACCAACCAGGUGAAGAAGGAACUCAUCUUCAUGCCACAAACUAGGUGAUGAAAUGUACAACUCGUACUCUCAUUCAUGCCACCAACCAGGUGAUGAAAUGUACAACCCGUACUCUAAUAUCAUUUGGCAACUUGCCACUCAUGCCACCAACCAGGUGAAAAAUGAACUCAUCUUCGUGCCACCAACCAGGUGAUGAAAUGUACAACCCGUACUCUCAUUCUUAUCACCAACCAGGUAAUGAAAUGUACAACCCGUACUCUCCUUCAUGCCACCAACCAGGUGAUGAAAUGUACAACCCGUACUCUAAUAUCAUUUGGCAACUUGCCACUCAUGCCACCAACCAGGUGAAGAAUGAACUCAUCUUCUUGCCACCAACCAGGUGAUGAAAUGUACAACCCGUACUCUCCUUCUUGUCACCAACCAGGUGAUGAAAUAUACAACCCGUACUCUAAUAUCAUUUGGCAACUUGCCACUCAUGCCACCAACCAGGUGAAGAAGGAACUCAUCUUUAUGCCACAAACUAGGAAAUGAAAUGUACAACUCGUACUCUCAUCCAUGCCACCAACCAGGUGAUGAAAUAUACAACCAGUACUCUAAUAUCAUUUGGCAACUUACCACUCAUGCCACCAACCAGGUGAAGAAGGAAUUCAUCUUCAUGCCACCAACAAGGUGAUGAAAUGUACAACCCGUACUCUCCUUCUUGCCACUAACUAGGUGAUGAAAUGUGAUGAAGGAACUCACAUUCGUAUGACUAACCAAGUGAUGAAAGCAACUCACCAUUCAUUCCACCUACCAGAAGACAAGUGGUACAAUUUGUACAUGUGAACUUCUAGCAUUCACAGAUAAUAAAAAAUCCUCAAGCUUGACAACUCAACUAGGGGAGCACUUAUGCCCAACAAGAGUUAUAGUCAUCAAUAAAGUCUUAUUGCAAGCCAACAACAACUUCAGUGCAUGGCAUACGAAGAUCAAGCUAUUCAGCCAUCUUGCAUCUGCUUCAGACAUUUCCCCUCUGUAACAAUGCAAACACUACAACUCGUAAAAAGCUUCACACAUUCUUGAUCAAGAUAGUGUGAAGCAAAACCAAUUUAUGGUGCCAAUAAGAGCUUUAUCAAUAGAGGGUAACCACAAUUCUCAAAAGCUUCACACACUAUUGAUUAAGACAGUGUGAAGCAAAACAAAUUAUGAUGCCAACAAGAGCUUCAUCAAUGGAGGGUAACUAUAAUUCUCAAAAGCUUCACACACUCUUGAUCAAGACAGUGUGAGACAAAACAAAUUUAUGGUGCCAACAAGAGCUUCAUCAAUGGAGGGCAACCACAAUUCUCAAAAGCUUCACACACUCUUGAUCAAGACAGUGUGAAGCAAAACCAAUUUAUGGUGCCAACAAGAGCUUUAUCAAAUGAGGGCAACCACAAAUUCUCAAAAGCUUCACACUAUCUUGAUCAAGAUAGUGUGAAGCAAAAUCAAUUCGUGAUACCCAACAAAGCUUCACCACAAAAGCUUCACACUAUCUUGAUCAAGAUAGUGUGAAGCAAAAUCAAUUCAUGGUACCCAACAAAAGCUUCAACUCCAAAUCUUCACCAACAAAAGCUUCAUCAAUGGAAGACAACUACAAAUGCUCAAAAGCCUCACACUAUCUUAAUCAAGAUAGUGUGAAGCAAAAUCAAUUCAUGGUACCCAACAAAAGCUUCAACUCCAAAGCUUCACCAACAAAAGCUUCAUCAAUGAAGGACAACUGCAAAUUCUCAAAAGCUUCGCACUAUCUUGAUCAAGAUAGUGUGAAGCAAAAUCAAUCCAUGGUACCCAACAAAAGCUUCACCCAUAAAAACUUCACCAACAAAAGCUUCAACACUAAAGCUUCACCAACAAAAGCUUCACCAACAAAAGCUUCAUCAAUGGAGGCCAACUACAAAUUCUUAAAAGCUUCACACUAUCUUGAUCAAGAUAGUGUGAAGCAAAAUCAAUUCAUGGUACCCAACAAAAGCUUCACCUACAAAGCUUCAACUCUAAAGCUUCACCUACAAAAGAUUCACCCACAAUAACUUCACCUACAAAAGCUUUACCAACAAAAACUUCACCCACCACAAAAGCUUCACCCACCACAAAAGUUUCACCCAUAAAAGCUUCACCAACAAAAGCUUCACCCACAAAAUCUUCCCCCACCAAAAAAGCUUCACCCACAAAAUCUUCCCCCACCACAAAAGCUUCACCCACAAAAGCUUCACCUACAAAAGCUUGACCCAUAAAAGUUUGACCCACAAAAGCUUGACCGAUAAAAGCUUGACCGAUAAAAGCUUGACCCACAAAAGCUUGACCUACAAAAGCUUCACCCACAAAAGCUUCACCCACAAAAGCUUCACCCACAAAAGUUUCACCCACAAAAGCUUGACCCACAAAAGCUUCACCUACAAAAAUUUGACCCACAAAAGCUUCACCUAUAAAGUUUCAACACAAAAGCUUCACACUAUCUUGAUCAAGAUAGUGUGAAGCAAAAUCAAUUCAUGGUGCCCAACAAAGCUUCAACCUCAAAACUUCACCUACAAAGCUUCAACACUAAAACUUCACCUACAAAGGUUAAAAUAUAUAUAUAUAUAUAUAUAUAUAUUCGAAAAUUCAAAAUUUUUAAAAUUAGAAGAAAAAAAAAUUCGAAAAUUCGAAAAUUCAAAAAAAAAAAAAUUGCCUAGGCCUCUUCUUCUUUGGGCCUAACAACUUUCAUAACAAAUAUAUAUGAAUGAGGAGUUUUGGGCUACCACUUAGAAAGGAAAUGCCUCAUUCGUCAACUCCUUCUACCGGAGACUUAGGGGACUCCUACCAUAUACUACUGCAUCUUGAUACUCAGAAGUCUCACGACCACUCAGUGACUUGGAUUUUUCAAGUCUCCAACCGAGAAGUUUUCCUCACUCGAGAAAUUAAGGGAGCACUACCUCAACAUAUAUGUUUCACUCUCAAAGCUUCAACAAAAGAAAAAAUUCAAAGAACUUAGUGAAGAAGGCCUUGGUGUAUUUAACACAAUACGUUGAAAUGAAGCAAAGCUUGUUUAUUGAUAUCUCCGAUAAGUUACAAAUAUGUACAUAUACAUGAAUCAAAAUAAACAAACAAGAGGGAGCCUUCACAAAAAUUGCUCAUGAGAAGUCUCAGCAAUCGACAAAGCCUCAGAAAGAGUAGGCACCAGAGGGUGAUCAUUCGGAGCCUCAGUACUGGGCAGAACCCCAGAAUGAGGAGGCACCGAAGGUUGAUCAUUUGGAACUUCAUUACGCGGUACAGCCUCAGAAGACGAAUGCAAUAAAUGCCUUUGGAACAAACCCACAAACCUCUGAUGAUCAAGCAAAAUCUGACCAUCAGAUUCCUGCAGCUGGUCAAGCUUCCUCUUCAUGUUUGUAGCAUAGUCAUGUGCGAGCCUAUGCAACUGUUUAUUCUCAUGCUUGAGCCCUCUGAUCUCCUGUUUGAGACUUAUCACUUCAGCUGCCAAUGAUUCUGUUUGUGGCAGGAAUUUCCGUCAGGGAUGUUCCCUGGCCGACAAGCAUACAGCUCCCCGAGAGGUUAGCGCCGGUUGAUGCUUUCUGUCAGGCUUCUACUUCACUGGUGGGCUUAUCGGGCAAAACUUAUCGGGCAAGGCUUGUCGGGCAAAGCUGAAAGAGAAGGACAAAGUUAACUUUGAAAUGUGCCUUCGUGGGGCCUUAGGUGUAGGCCUUGAGGUUCACAAUCAAGAUUAACUUUUAAGUGCUCAGGCGUGCCACUACCAUCUUCAGCAUGACAGAUGUAAAACAGAUGUUGAGUUUUAGUUGUAUAUAUAUCCGAUAGACUAUGUUAGUUAUGACAUGUGCCUUUAUGGGGCCUUAGGUGUAGGCCUUAAGGCUUCCAGUCAAUAACUAGCUCAGUACUCGAACAUAUAAUGUCCGCUUCAUUGAUUAUAUGAGUCUUAUAACCAUUAUACUUCUGAUGACCUGAGCCCGAAGAGCAGAAAUGAAUCCAAAUAGGUGCCUUUGUAGGACCUUAGAUAUAGGCCUUGAGGCUUCCCAUCAGAAUUCCUUCUAUACUUAAACGUUCUAGCCCGAGGAAUAGAAUGAAUCCAAAUAGGUGCCUUUGUAGGGCCUUAGAUAUAGGCUUUGAGGCUUCAUGUCAGAAUUCAUUCCAUACUCAAACGUUCUAUGGUAAUCAUAAUAUAAUAGAAAUAAAACUAAGGAAUAGGUCGAUUACUUGCGCCCCAAGUAACUUCAGACUUCUUGUUAUCAAAGCUUGUCGUGGAUGGGUUAAGUCCAUAUAAGGUUCUUUUUUAUGCCUUGAGGCCAAGGACUUUUAAGUGAUCAAAUCCUACAUGCCCGAGGGCUUAGAACUUAGAUCUGGUUUGAACUCUAAAGACAUAUUCAAAUCGGAUUCAAGCAUUGAGAGAGUCUUUUAAUAGCCAUCUUACUAGAAAUGACUUGAAUACAACUUGAAGUAUACAACAUAUUGCUAGGUUAAUGAAUGAAAAGACAGAAACAAAGAGGGUCGGGCAAGGCUGAUCGUCUUGCAACUUCCUAUCUUUGUGGUUUAUCAAGGGGAUUGAGAGCUUUAGAAGAGGGGUAGGGAGAUGAGUUUAUAGAAAUAAAUCGAUACUACAGCAAGAGUUAAACAAGGUAGUAGAGCUAUUACAAAGGCUUGAGUGAGGGCUUAUCCCGAAAGGGAUGAAGGCUUGGGCUGACUACAGCUUCGUUUGAAAACAAAUAUGGCUUUUAAGCAGAGUUUGUGCUUGUAUUUGUUUGUUUGUUUGAGUGUCCCUAACUCUGAUUUCUCUUUCUUCUUUUAUAGACAUUUUGGCUUGGCCUCCUGUAGCAGUAAUCUUGCCCGAAUGCGGUUUGAAGGAUAAUGACUCAUCAUCUAUUUUACUUGUACUGCCACUGUAAAGUACUUUUUGGCUGAUUAGUUGGCUGGUCUAUACCACUUGGUCUUUGGGUAGGUAAGCAAGUGGUGCAAAUGGUCUACACCUAGUCGGGAAAGCCUUUCUCUGCCUUCUGGGCUUGGGAUGGACUUCGGGCCUCUCUCCUCUUUUUGGGCCAACUCCCUUUUCGUGGCUAAAGUUUAAGUUUUAACCCAAACAGAUUUAACUUGGCGAGUUCGAGCAAAUAGGCGUUGGGCCAUAUUAGACACAGAACUUGCACAUUGAACACUGAGAGCCAAAGAAUCUUUAACAGCCAACUCAUCAGACCGUUUGGAAAGUAAUCUGUUAUCUUUAGGAGUGAGAAGGUUCCUGGCCACCAUCGCAGCAAUCAUAUCAUUCUUCAUCACAGAGUCCCCAACGGUAAGAGGACCAGUAGGGGAUAAGAAGGAUGUACGCCAUAUGUUGUCUUGAAAAGGCAUGGCUGCCUCUUCACCAAAGUUCAAGUCAAAACGAUGAUCGGAUGGGCCAGACAUUCUCAGAAAUGAUGAAGGAGAAAUGAGGUGCAAUAAAUCUCUUAAGUACAAAAAUAAAGGGAAAAUUCCUACAAGCAAUAACUAUCUGAAUGUACUUAUUGCACACAAUUGGUGCCUUUAUAAAAGAAAGGGUAACAGGGUCGUUGGUUCAAAAAUUGAAGAGGCACCACUCUCCAUACGCAACAUCAGCUCCUCAGGUACCACAGAUAACUUUGCCAAAGAUCUUUGACAAAGUUUAGACAGACUCCCAAUAGGAUUACACGCUCAAAAAUCGAAGAGGCAUCACCCUCCGAAUCUCAAGAGCCAGACUCCCAACAGGAUUACUUUCUUAAAAAUCGAAGAGAUACUGUUCUCCGAAUCUCAAGAGUCAAACUCCCAACAGGAUUGCUUUCUCAAAAAUCGAAGAGGCACCGCUCUCUUAAUCUCGAGAGCCAGACUCCCAAUAGGAUUAUGUGCUCAAAAAUCGAAGAGGUACCGCCCUUCAAAUCUCGAGAGCCAGACUCCCAACAUGAUUACUUUCUCAAAAAUCGAAGAGAUACUGCUCUCAGAAUCUCAAGAGUCAGACUCCCAACAUGAUUGCUUUCUCAAAAAUCGAAGAGGCACUGUUCUCUGAAUCUCGAGAGUCAGAUCCUCGACAGGAUUGCUUGUUCGAAAACCGAAGAAGCACCGCUCUCCGGACUUCGAGAGCCAAAUUUCCUUGGAUAAAGCUUGUCUGCAAUCUUCACACGCAACAUCAGCUUUCCAGAUACCACAGAUCACUUUUUCAAAGUGCUCUGACAAAGUUAAAACACGUGAAGCUUGCAGCUCCCACUACAUUAUUAUGACCAAGAAGGGUAAAGGAAUAACACUACUACUUGUUGUUAGGGAGACUCCUGUAUAUGUCGACCUCCAUCCUCCACAACCAGGCAGACCUGCAAAUAAAAAAAAUGCUCAACUUUUCUUCACAUCCGAGAGAACACUCUCAACAGAGUCUCUCGAAAUACUCAGCUUAUUUUCCUCCCGAUAAUACCUCUGCAAAUAAGCCACACCAAAGCAAGAGUAUCUCAUAUCAUCAGGGUUAAAAGUAAGAGUAUCCCAUAUCAUGCUUUUUCCCUGUCUUUUCAUUUGGCCUUGUUUUUACCUGUAAGACAAGGAGAAAGAGAGCAAUCAGUAAGCACUUGGAAUCAAGCUUCUAGUCAGGAACUGACUGCCUGGAACCCCUUGCCUGAUUACUUACCUAGCAUUGCUCUCGAGUACUUAUCUUCAACAUCUUAUGCUUUCAGAGAAGAUACCACAUCUACCUGAGGAACAUAUAGGGAAAGUGAGAAUGAUACAAAGAAGCAUGUGGAGACAAGCGUAACAGAACAUGUGUCGAUACAUCCACUACUUUUCCAACAGCAAUUGUAUCACAUAUCAUCAAGGUCGAACGUACUCUAGAUUUGAUGGACUUGUUUUGACCCUCAAAUUCUUGAGUCGGCCUUAUACUCUAGAGGAAACCAGAAAACCCUCCAGCCCAGUUCAAGAAUAAGCCUGUGGAAAGUUACUUCUUCAAAAGCAAAAGUAUCUCAUAUCAUCUCUUAUCCAUUUGCUUCUCCUUAUCAUUGUUGUUGUUUACGACAUAAGGAGAAGGAGAACAAUCAACCGCAAGCCGAAGUCAAACCUCCGAUCCAGAUUGCUUGCUUGGAAGUUUGAUUGCUUACCUUGUCUGUUACCUCCUUCGGUAAAUAUCCUAGCUCGACGACUUGGGAGACUCCUACUAUAGGGUUUGUAUAGCACUUGACCAAGCCCGAAACUACAAGUAAGUUUCAAGUGAAAUUGAUACAUUACCUUGUGCAUCUUCAUCGGUUAAGAUACCACCCCUAGAUGGAGGAAAAGUAUUUCCAGAAAAGAUGUCACAUCUACAUAUGAGACAGAUAAGACCACACUUCAGUACUUAGAAGUUUCAUGAUUACUCAAUGGCUUGGAUCUUGCAAGUCCCCAACCGAGAAGCUUUCCUCACUCGGGAACUUAGAGGAGCACUGUUUGUACUAUACUUGACCAAUCCCGAAACUACUGAGCAUCGGUCAACGUUAUACCGUCAAGGAGAUGUCACAUCUACAUAUAAGAUAUAUAAGACCACACUUCGGUACUUAGAAGUUUCAUGAUUACUCAAUGGCUUGGAUUUUGCAAGUCCCCAACCGAGAAGCUUCCCUCACUCGGGAACUUAGAGGAGCACUAUUUGUACCAUACUUGACCAAUCCUGAAACUACUGAGCACCGGUUAACGUUAUACCGUCAAGGACCCAGAAGAGUUUCUCUCCAACCAGGAGGCCAAUCAUAGCGCGACACGUGUUGACAUCAGAAGCCAAUCAUAGCGUGACACAUGUCAACAUCAGAAGCCAAUCACAACACGACACAUGUCAAUGUCAGAAUGAAACUAGAAACUCUCUUCUAUAAAUAGAGAUCAUUCUCUCACAAUAUUUCCUAAUGUCAUUUGUAUUAAAUCAUUCACUAGUACUCACUAAAGGAAAGCUUGAACCUAUGUACUUGUGUAAACCCUUCACAAUUAAUGAGAACUCAUCAACUCCGUGGACGUAGCAAAUCUGGGUAAACCACGUACAUCUUGUGUUUACUUUCUUGUCCCUAUCUAUUUACAUACUUAUCCACACUAGUGACCGAAGCAAUCUAGCGAAUGUCAUAAACUUAACACUUUUUGUUGUACCAAAGUCUUCACUGAUUUUGUGCAUCAACAAGUUUCAUAAACCAUUUUUCCUCUCAUUCUGAUUACGAAUUAGUAAACCGAGUCAUUAUAGUGGCUUGAAGUAAGGGAGUCAAACUCUCAAUUAAAUACUAAUUGGAUUUGACAUGUAUUAGUGAGGUAUUUUUAUUGAAUUAGGCCAACAGAUGCAUAAGGUCUCUGUUAAGCAACACAGCACGUUAGAUAUUCUCUUGCUUCCCAACCCAGAUAAUCGGUCAACAUCGACAAGAUUGAAGAAUCCUGCCCCAACAUAAUGGGCUUUCUAAGAGGUUAACAAGAAUCCAAAGAAUAAAUGGGCCCUAUUAAAGUUAUGAAGAAUUUGCCCCCUCCAGAAUGGGCUUUCUAAGAGGUUCACACGAAUCUAAAGAAUAAAUGGGCUUUACGAGGUCCACAAUACUCCAAAGAACAAAUGGACCUUUUUAAAAUAAUGAAGAAUCUUACCCCCACCACAAUGGGCUUUCUAAGAGGUCACAAGAAUGCAAAGAUAAGUGGACCCUAAUAUAGGUGAACUAAUCUUGGAUCAAAUAACAUGUCUCAUCAUUUGUACAAAUUAAUUACCGAUAUAUAAUUUUCUUUUACCGAUUAGCACAUUAUUUUUGUAGGUGAAUUAUUUUGAAUGUAUUAUAAUUUUAUUCUCAAAUAAUUGACCUAUAUUUUUAUGAAAAAUAAGGUAAACUAACUUUGAAUCAAAUUUCAAAUCAAAUAACAUUUCUUGUUUUGUAGGUAAAUUAUUUUGCAUUAAUUUUACAUAUAUUAGGCAUUUUUAUAUAAAUAUGUGUGUGUAAAACAAUUAACCUACAUUUAUUUGAAACACAUAUAUUUCCGUGACAUUAAUUAAACAUGUAUUAUUACAUAUAUUAGGCAUUUAUUAUUAUUAUUAUUAUUAUUAUUAUUAUUAUUAUUAUUAUGCCAUAAAUAUAUAACAUUAAUGUUUUUUCCUUUUAUAAAAUCAUUAGUUCCUCCAGUACAUGUACAAUCAGACAUCGAUCCCCCGGCACCCCGUCAUUCCGUGACCAGAUUUGGAAGACAAAUGUCCCGUUGACCGCCGCAUGUACCAAUGCGCAAACUUGUCAAGAAAGCUUUGAUAUUGUGAAGGACGGGCCUCUCAAGACCGAAGUGUCCAAUCGAGUGGAUGAUUUGAGUAAGCUUGCGGGCAAUGCACUUUCGCUCCUUGUUAAAAUUGGAUAGAGGGCUGCGCCCUGAUCACAAUGCGCUUUCACUCCUCAUUCCAUACAAUUAUUGUCGUAAUUUUGAACUCCUUUGCAUCCCCUCAAUAACAAUAUUUAAAAAAUAAAAAAUAAAUCAUAUUUUACAGUAUGUUAAGGAUUACAAUUUUACCUAUAUGGAGAAGAUUUGAAUAUGAAAAUUUGUAGAUACGAAUACAGAGAAACCGAAAAUUCCAACUAGAUUUUGGAUACCCUUAUGGGACAUGGUUUUUAAUGUCGGACAAGGCUUUCUAUAGUUAAGUGAAAUGUACAAACUACAGUUAAGGUAUCCACAAAAAAAUGAGGGAAAGGACGUUAACGCACCGUUGCCGCCCUUCACGACCGCGUCAUAUUGUUCAACGAAGCCAUUGACUCCUUCCGCGAUGCGCUCGUGUUUAUGGACCAGCUGGGCACCCCGUCCUUUCAUGAAAAGAUUAGGGAUACGAAUCUCCAGAUGAAUUGUGAAGAAGACUUAGAGCCCGUGGCGGAAUGGCCUCUCAAGACGAAGUGUCCAAUCGGGUGGAGGGUGUGACCAAGGUUACGGGCAUUUGUGGUGAGACCGCCACCUUUACACACUUGGGUUUGGCCACUAAGGAGGCCUGAAAAUGAGCAAUUAUUAUGGGUUGAGCAUGCCCAUAUAAAGAAGAGAGGCAACCCAAUAGACUAGAGGGGUUGAAUUUUGGAUCAUUUCCUUUUCUCCUUAAAUUGGUUAGGAGCCCUUGAGCACUCAUGGUUGAAUGUAUUGUAACCCAACAUAUAUAUAUAUAUAUAUAUAUUACAAAUUUUCAAUUGAAGCGGUCCAUUUCUGGGUAAACCACUUAAAAUUUAUUUCGUUAAAAUGUUAUGCAUAUUAUUGUCCACAAUAAUUGAUUAUUCAAAUCUUUUGGUUAGUCUCAUCAACUUUCAGCGUUAACAUGACCCAUACCAAAAUUCACGUUUUCAUAACUCAUAAGAGAUUCCUUUUCACGUGUGAACUAUAUUUUUGUAUAUAAAUUUGGGUACUUUUGAAAUGCAACAUCUAUCAAUGUUGUUAUACGAGAGGUAAAAUGCCUCUAUUAGUUGAUCUUACUAAAACCCUAAUUAGUGACUGGUGGCCUCAUUUCAGUGAUUAAAGCCAUACUGGGUUGGAAAUAGGAAUAUUUUGAUGGACGCAACCACGGGUGUUCAAAUUCCAAUCAACUUUGAUCAAAGAAAAUAAAUUAAUACAACUGUAGGCCAAUUAGUGGUCAAUAAAAUAGUGAUACACUUACCAUUUAUUUAUACUAUCUCUCAAAUAGAGAUAGAGUUCACCAACACAUAUGGGUCUCAUAUUCAUUAGAGAGAUGAUACAAGUAGAUAGUAAGAAUAAUAUUUUUAUAAUCAAUACUGUUAGACGUAUCAAGAUUUAUAAAUUUCAAGGAAAAGAAGAGGGACCUCAAGACCAUGCUCAACUUGGCAUUUUACAUUCCAUCCUCGAAAUAAUUUAUGGCGUGUUUACUAAUUUGUAAUCAGAUUGAAGGGAAUUGAAUUGAGAAGGAAUCGGAUUGAGAAGAAAUUAGAUUGAGGAGGAAACAGAAUUAGAUUCAUGUUAAUGUUGUUUACUAUACUAGCUGGAAUCGGAGUAAAAAUGAUAUUGAUUUCAUAUAACUUGUUUACUAGUUCACCUGAAUCGGAAUUAAAACUAGCUUGAUUACUAAACUACCCUUGUGUAACAUAAUUUUUUUCAUGCUAGUUAAUGAAAUUUAAUUUUAUAUCAUAUUAAUAAAUUUCAUCACGUAAGGUUUUGUGUUAAUAAAAAGUAUAGUUAUUUAAUAAAAAUUAAAAAUAUUAUACCAUCCUUAUCCCCCAUUUUGCCCAGAUGCAUCCUCAUCCAUUCCCACCCCUUUGUUAUUUGAUAAGAAACUCUUUCUUCUUCCCGAUCUUCAUCAUCCUCAUUCCACCCUUUGCCCAGAUGCAUCCUUAACUUUUUCUUUCCCAACUAUCCUCUCACUUGUUUCAGAUGCAUAGACCACACGCCUUCCCCUUUCAUUAUGAUCACUUCUCUUUCUCAUCUUUACUUUUCCAACAGCCCUCCCGCUUGCCCAGAUGCAUAAACCUUCACGACGCCUCCUAUCAUCCUCAAUCAAUUAUCGUUGUCGUCAAUAGGUUCUGCAAGCAACCAAGAGAACUGGGUCCGUUGGCUUGAGCCCUAAGCCUGAGUCCUCCAAUGGAAAUUGGUGGGAUUGGAGAAGAUGGAUUUAGUGUCUGCCUGCUGGUGGUGAAGUUGUUGAUUAUUUUGUAAUAAGCAAAAUUAUAGGAGGGCAAUCUAGGAAGAAAAGUUGUAUUCCGGAUGGCCUCCAAUAUCCGGAACUCAAAUACUAGCUUAAUCUAGAGAAUCCCACUCCGCCAAUUUCAAGAGUCCAAUUCUGGAAUUGGUGCGGGUCCCACACGGAACCUGAUUCCUGCCCAACUAGUAAACACAUGAAUCCAUCGAAGAGCAUGCAAUUCCAUUACCGUCCCCUCCAUUCCUCUUUAGUAAACACGCCAUUAGUGUAAUCUCACAUCCACCCAUCCAUCUUUCAUCAUUUGGUUAUUCGUUCAAAGUCUUAUCCCUAAGAAACAGAAAGAACCUAGAUCGAGAACAAGUUCCUUGCUCACUCACACAUCGUUUGAUUAAAAUCAAAUACAAGAGCACAACACAAUAGCUUUCACAAUAUUUCUAUGUCAGCUAAUGUAGGCCAAUGACAAGCCCAGUGUACCAAACUUUUUGCUAAGAGUUUUAUAAAGUAGAAAUUAUGUGGUAUAUCAAAAGGUGGUCUAGAGUCUACUUCCCGAGAAAGUUUUCAAUGUUGAAAACACGGUUCGAUACACCAAGUGUCAUAAUACAAUUGAUUGAAAUUUUUUAUUUUCAAAUAUUCAACCACAUAUAUUAUGAUACUUGGUAUAUCCAACCGUAUUCUCAGCACACUAAAAAAUUUCUCUUACUUCACAUAUGGUGUACACCUAAUAAACUUCUAAACGAUGAGAAUCCAUCCAAUCGAAAUCAAAGGCCAAAGCUUCACAGAGUCUCUUGGUGCAUUUGCGUGUGGUCCUCCUUGAAAAUUGGACUCUUCCUAAUUAAAUAUCCGGCACAACGUUUACAUCUCCAUUAUUUGGCCCUCCUUGGUACGUGUUCAACUUUCGAAUCAUUACUGACACAAAUUACUAAGUUGCUUUGGAUCGAUUAGUUAUUUAACGGCACAAGAGUAAUACAAAGUACGUACAAGUGAGGGAAUGUCCAAAAGAUCAAUCUUAUACUUUUUAAAAUGAAAUCGAGGAAAUUAAACUGCUUUAAGUCAGAAAUUAUGCUGAUUGGUCUUAAUUUAUAACAAAAUCUCAACAGUAAUUUGCCGUAAGAUUUUGAUUUAAGCGAUAUUAUUGCUUUAAGCUCACUAAAAACUCAUGAAAGAGUUUGAACACGAAACACUGUUAGUUAUAGAAAACAGCCUUAUCCACCAAAUCAAUUCAGUAGUAUAAUUUCUAUGGCCAAAGUGGUAAAACAUUCGUCUUCCAUCCCUUUCUUUAUAUUCAGCUGAUCAUACAAGGACAAACUACAAAGAAUCAUGACUCCGAGUCAAUUGUCUGCAUUUUUAGUCUUCCACCAUCUUAUGUUGUAGCCUCAAAUGGUCGCUCCCAACUGGCAUAUAGAGACACCACCAUGCAUAAAGUCUACAGAACACCUUUAUCCCCGAAAGAACCGCACGUACAUCACGUUUGCAGUCCUACAUGGUAGGGGAAGUCAACAAGAGGAACUUUAAAUAUGAUUACGCUACUACUUUAAUUAAUAGCAAAGUUUUUUUUGUAGUAAAACUUCACAUCUGACGGAUUGGGCAGAUGGUAAAGUUGAAAACAUUAUGACCUCGUUUAGCAGCUCGGACUGUACUAACUAUUUCAGUCGGAUAAGAUAAUUUGUCAUCGGAUAGUACUGACUAUUUAAUUGGGCGUUUGGUGCAGUACCGGAUAAAAAACUCAAUUCAUCAAAGAUUAUCAUGUUUAUUUACUUCCUCAAAAGGAGAUUGAAUAACAUUUAUGGCACUGAGUUUCACAAUUUAAAACUAGCAAGAGAGAUGGAAAAAGAGCCAGCUUGAUUUUGUUUUCAGCGACCCGACUAAUUAAUACCGACGAUUUUGAGUGUAUAAGUUAUCCGGCGUACGUCGUAUAAAAUAGGUUGGACCGUAUAAAUAAUCCGGUGCUAAUUUAAUACCGAAUGGCACCAAACACCGGAUAGUAUUUGUUUAUACCAUACUUAGGGCCUCCGUAUUUAGAUCUCGUACAAAUACUCAUGGGACUUAAAUGUAAUUAUGUAAUAAAGGAAGGGGCAAAUAUAUAAUAAGUGAGGAGCCAUUAUUCUAUAAAAGAACUCCUCACCCUUACAAUUAGGGGGGCCAUUUCCUAAGCCUCUCCUAUCUAGAACAAAGCUCUCACACUCUCUCCCUCACAAAUACUCUCAGAGAAAUACAAUCAGUGUGGACGUAGCCCAAACCUUGGGGUGAACCACGAUACCUCUUGUGUUAUUUACAUUUCAUGUAGAUUCACGGUCGGAUUUAUGUUGUUCCAAGACCUCCGGUUUUGUGCAUCAACAUUUGGCGCCGUCUGUGGGAAUUGACACAAAAAACUAUGUCGGUUCUUUUUCAUUUUUUCACCUCCACCGUGAAUCUGCAAAAAACCCAAGAUCCAAAGCCAAACCUAGAACCUCCCUUCUUGGGGCUUUUACCAGAAAACCACAGUUUAUUCUCUCUCUAUCUCUCCUUUUCUUUUGCCGCAAAGGAAGAAAGAUUCGUCCUGGAGGAAUGGCUACUAUCAGAAACACAAGAUGCAUCCUUAUUAAACCUAUCAACCAAGGUUCCUUCCAGUCGAUGGCGUGGAAAAAGCCCAAGAAAGUGUGGACAGCAGGCGCCCCUCCACUGCCAUUUGAUCCAGGCGCUCCUCCACUGCCGACCGAACCUGCUCUAUCUCUCUUUCUCUCUUUCUCUCUCUUUUUCUCUCUCUAAAAUCUCAGAACACCUCCCACAAAGUCAUCAUCCUCGCCUCAAAAGCCCAUGGCCCUGAGACCAAACAUAACAGGCCUGACCCGCAACGGCUCUGCCUCAGGAUCCCUCAUAAACUCAGCCGUGGACUCCGUCAUGGGAGCCGCCGCUGACCGUAAAUUCUCAUCCCUUCAACUGCAGCACCUACGAGGCCACUACUUCUCCGGAGACAGUAGCGGCGACUCUCCCUCCUUCACCAGCUCCGAGUCCAGCUUCGAAGUCAACUCAUCCAACGGCAGCCACAGGUACACCAACAAGCCAUUGCUGCAAUUUAUAAAGGACAUCAUUAAUAUUGGCAGUGGCUGGUCGUGAUCUGCAGGGAGGGCAGAUGAUUCCAUUUGACGGCGACGUUUCUGCCUUUCUCUGGCCUUGUGAUUUUGGAACCAAGCCAUUGCUACAAACCUGCAUCAAACCCGCUCUGGCAAGAAAUCUCAAACCCCCUCUUCAAACCCACAUCACCGUCAUCACUGCCACCAUUGGAAGAGCAAAGGUAGAGCAAAACAUUGUAAUGGUGUAGACUAAGCGGGACCCCAUUGCUCCUGGCCUCGUCGUAAAGGCUCAGAGCUUGGAGCAGCUGGCUGUGCCUGGAGCACAUGUCUAGCUUAUGCCUAAGGACCCUUUCCGGCAAUCCCGCCGUGGUUUCUUCUUGGCUUUGUUGGAGACUGCCGGAGACAAUGGCAACGGCGAGUUAUUGGAGAAAGCCAGAGUCUUUUGUCCAUGGAGAAACUGCCGGUGGAAUUCAGGGUCGGUUUAGGUUUCGGGUAGAUUAAGACCGCCUUGUUGGAAAUACCGUUGACAAGGCGGACAACCAUACUAGUGACUGUCAGAUCUCCACAUCGAUGCUGCCACACUCUCUCUCUCCAUCCUUUGAGCUGUUCUUUCUCUCUUAUUAGACACCCUUCUGGAAAAGUCUUGGGUUUUCAGCUUUCCAACUGAAAAAUGAAGAAGCAUGAAUGGAAAUGUCCUUCAAUCCGAAAGUGAAAGGAGAAAAGAAAAGGCAAAAGCAGAGACAGAGAUAGAGAGAGAGGCGCAGUGCAAAGAGAAAAUGAAAGCAAAAGCAAGGAGUAGGGAGAUCAAGAAAAGCUUACUAUUAUUAAUUCUAUAACGAUUCAUUUUGUUUGCCAGGUGAAAAGACUGAUAGAGUGGUGGAAAAGAAAAAGCAAAACAGAAAACAAAAGCAAAAGCAAAAGCAACGCACCAACGAUCUGCAACUGUCGAAGCUUUUGUGUCGAAACCUUUGUUUUUGUAUGAUAUAAUUUAUUUUUCUUAUCUUUCGGAGACAUCUGUAUAAAUCUCGUCAGAGGGUAAUAACAAUAAUAAUAAUAAUAAUAAUAAUAAAAUAAAAAACGACAAAGCCCAAAAUAACUCCAACCAGGCGAUAAAAAAAGUACGCGCAGUACUUCACAAUUAUUUGACAACCUGCCGCUAUUACCACCAACCAGGUGAUCAAAAGUACGCCCAGUACUCCAAAAUUAUUCGGCAACCUGCCGCUAUUACCACCAACCAGGUGAUCAAAAGUACGCCCAAUACUCCAAAUUUAUUCAGCAGCAUGCUGUCAAUCAGGUGAUCAAAAGUACGCCCAGUACGUCAAAGUUAUACAUGAGCACUACUCAUGUCAAUCAUACAUAGACAUACAUGAGCAUUACUCAUGUCAAUCAUACAUAAACAUUCAUGAACAUCACUCAUAUCAAUCAUAUAUAAACAUUCAUGAGCAUCACUCAUGUUAAUAGCUUCAAAAGCUUCAUUUACAAAAGCUUUAUUUACAGAGCUCUAGCUUCAAAAACUUCAUUUACAAAAGCUCUAGCUUCAAAAGCUCCUUUUACAGAGCUCUAGCUUCAAAAGCUUCAUUUACAAAAACUCUAGUUUCAAAAGCUUCAUCUACAGAGCUCUAGCUUCAAAAGCUUCAUUUACAGAGCUCCAGCUUUAAAGCUUCACUUGCAAAGCUUCACUUGCAAAGCUUCAUCUACAAAGCUUCAAUGUAGGGUAUACAAAUACCGCCUCAGAACAACCGCCACUUCGGCCCAUACAUGGAUUCAAUUUGAAGUCUCCAGCCAACAUACUCUAUUGACCGAAGACUUGGGGGACUACAUUAUACACCAUAUGUUGGGCCUCAACUGGGCCUCAUGAAAAAUACUUAGGGGACUCUAGCUCAUUGUUCAUGUAUUGAGGAGCGAGCCCAUAUUUUAUAAAAGAGCCUCCCUCACUAUCAUCAGAGCAGCAUCUCUCUAGCCCAUUAUUCAUGUAUUGAGGAGCGAGCCCUUAUUCUAUAAAAGGGACUCCCUCACCAUCAUUAGAAAGCAUCGCCGCCCAUUGAGCAACCGCCUUGCCGCGAACAUCAACUCUAGCCCAUUAUUCAUGUAUUGAGGAGCGAGCCCUUAUUCUAUAAAAUGGACUCUCACCAUCAUUAGAGAGCAUCACCGCCUACUGAGCAACCGUCUCGCCGCAAACAUCAACUCUAGCCCAUCAUUCAUGUAUUGAGGAGCAAGUCCUUAUUCUAUAAAAGGGACUCCCUCACCUUCAACGCCACAAGCCGAACCAACCAAGGCAACAUAAGCCACAAACCAAGCAGCCUCGCAACGUGUACUACUUCUAGUUGAGCAUCAUUUCAGAUUAAGCACCGCCUCAUACCGAGCAUCAGUUCAAGACAACAUCUAGUUACUUCGGCCCACACAUGGACUGAAUUUCAAGUCUCCAACCAAAAGACUCUCUUGACUAAAGACUUAGGGGACUACUAUUUAUACCAUACUUAGGGUCUCCGUAUUUAGAUCUCGUACAAAUACUCGGAGGACUUAUAUGUAAUUAUGUAAUAAAGGAAGGGGCAAAUAUGUAAUAAGUGAGGAGCCAUUAUUCUAUAAAAGGACUCCUCACCCUCACAAUUAGGGGAGGCCAUUUCCUAAGCCUCUCCUAUCUAGAGCAAAGCUCUCACACUCUCUCCCUCACAAAUUCUAUCAGAGAAAUACAAUCAGUGUGGACGUAGCCCAAACCUUGGGGUGAACCACGAUACCUCUUGUAUUAUUUACAUUUCAUGCAGAUUCACGGUCGGAUUUACGUUGUUCUAAGACCUCCGGUUUUGUGCAUCAACAAUAUUAAAUAGUACUAUCCGGUGUGUUAUCCAGCAUGCCAAACACGCCCUAUAGGUGUCAUUAGAGUGAGGUCCCACGAUCAAAAAAUCCAACAUGGUAUUAGAGUUCACAGUUACGGGCCCAUGCAAGCUAAAGGCUUGUCACCAGGAAGUGUGGGCUUGGAAACAAGUUUGGACUUUUAACAUAUAGCUGGCCUCUGAAUUCUUAAGAGACACUUAUUGAAAAGACUGAUCUGGAUUCCAUUGGAGCCGACCUCUGAGUUUCAAUUGCCGAUGUGUGGAUCUCCAUGUGUCGAAAUGGGAUUACACGUGAGGGGCCGUGUAGUGGUUUACACGUGAGGGGGCAUGUUGGCAGUCCCACACCGGUGGGGGAAGUCAACAAGGCUGGCUUUAAAUAUGAUUGUCCAACUCUAACUAAUACAAAUGCCUUUUGUGGAAAAACCCCACACAUGAUGGAUUAGGCAGGUGGUAAAAUUGGAGACAGUAUCGAUGUAAUUAGAGAGAGACCUAUCGGGCCCGUCGAUCUAAAAAUUUUCACCGCACCACUCACGUAAGCCCUACUAAGGCAAGUUGUGGUCUAUAAAAAAGUCCCCAUUGGUCCUCUGAAGAUCACAGAACAAGGUUCAAACCAUGAAGUUCAAUGCAUAUUUUCUUGUGUUCUUUUCUCUUCUAUUCAUGCUGCAGUAUAGUUCCUGUAGAAUCACUGCACCAUGCAGUCAACCCCAUACCCUCAAGUGUGUCGCCAUUACAUUAACACUAACCUCUUAUCAAACCUAGAUCGUCACCAAAGGUUUGCAUUUCGUGACUUGGUACUUAAAGUUUCCAUGGACCAAGCCAUCGAAGCUCAUCAACUUGUCUUGUCCUUGAACUUGAACUCAUUGGACGCUGACCAUACUCGAGCCAAGGGGGCCUGGAAUGACUGCUUGGAGCUCUACGAGGACACCGUUGACAAGCUCAACCGUUCCAUCGGCUCCACCAAUGCCCUUGAUGUCAAUACAUGGUUGAGUGCAUCGCUUACUAAUCAACAGACAUGCCAAAAUGGUUUCAAAAACCUCAACAUUCCUAGUUCUCAUUUGCAAUCUUUCCCAAACUACGUCACGCUCUCAACCAACUUGUCCAAGCUGCUUAGCAACUCACUAUCAAUACACAAGGUCUCAACUUCUUCAUCAGCUCUACAUUUUAGCAAACAAGUUCGUGGAAGACGACGGCGUUUGCUUUCGGAUGAUGGGUUCCCAGAAUGGGUUUCAGCCGCUGAUCGAAAGCUGCUCCAAUCGAUAAGUAGCGGACCAAACGCUGAUAUGGUAGUAGCACAAGACGGGUCCGGGAAUUACAAGUCAAUUUCUGAAGCUGUGGAUGCUGCGUACAAGCUACAGGGUGGGGCGACUAAAAGGUUUGUCAUACACGUGAAGGCAGGAGUUUACAGAGAAAAUAUCGAGAUUAAGAAGACAAUGAAGAACAUCAUGUUCAUUGGAGAUGGUAUUGAUGCAACGAUUGUCACAGGGAAUGAAAAUGUCCAAGAUGGUUCAACUACAUAUCGCUCUGCCACAUUUGGUAAGUUUGAGUUGAAGCAAUAAUAAACUUUGAAUCAGUUUAAGGGAUAUUUGGACUCAACAAACCCCAUCAUCUUGAGUUAAUUUUGAAACUUUAGGUGGCGUCACACUUAGAUACUAAUUGAUUGAAGACCAAUUUAAUUAACUAAGUCAUGAUCAAUUUGAAAGUCCUAGAGAGACCAACUAUUUAAACUACAUGAUGCGGUUAUUGAUGAUGAAAUUAUUAUUUAAGUGUUUUUAAAAUGCUUAUUGUUUACUAGUAACACGUCAUAUUGUUUGUAAAUUAGUCUAUCAUGUUAUUCUUCACUUAAAUCAUGUUUUGUAAACCAUAUACAUGAUUAUUAAUAAUUGAAUUAUUAAGUGUUGAUUAACUUACUUAAUUUCUAUCAUUACUCUUACUCAAAUUAUAAAGCUAUUUACCAGAUCCUGCGUUUCCUUUUACUUUCUUUUUUUUUUGCCUUUUCUCGACAAGAUUUAAAUACUGAUAACCUAGCUAAUUACAUGCCACGUGAAUAGUUACAAGUUUUUGUCCUAGUAUACAUCUAAUGGUUCACAAAAUUAAUAAACUGUUCACUUAAAAUUCAGGGGCUACCGGCGAUGGCUUUAUUGCUCAAGACAUGACAUUCGAAAACACAGCCGGACCACAGAAAUACCAAGCCGUGGCACUCCGCUCCGGCUCCGACCAUUCAGUCUUCUAUCGUUGCAGCUUCAAGGGUUACCAAGACACGUUAUACGUGUAUUCCCAACGCCAAUUCUACCGCGAGUGCGACAUAUACGGCACGAUCGACUUCAUCUGCGGCGACGCCACGGUUGUGCUCCAAAAUUGCAACAUCUAUGCGAGGAAACCAAUGAGCAACCAAGUAAACACCGUGACAGCGCAGUCUAGGACCGACCCGAAUGAAAACACAGGCAUUGUUAUUCAUAAUUCGCGAAUCACGGCUGCACAAGAUUUGAGACCUGUACAAGGUUCGUUUAAGACGUACUUGGGUAGGCCGUGGAAAAAGUACUCUAGGACGGUAAUUAUGAAGAGUAAUCUUGAUGGGUUGAUCAAUCCUGCUGGUUGGUUUCCGUGGAUUGGAAGCUUUGCCCCCUCCACACUUUAUUACGGGGAGUACAUGAACUCCGGCGCUGGAGCUGGUACUGGAGGGAGGGUCAACUGGCCCGGUUAUCAUGUUAUAAGUAGUGCGGGGGAGGCCGGGAAGCUCACGGUUGGGAACUUUUUGGCCGGAGGUUCGUGGAUUCCGAGGACCGGAGUUCCAUAUACUGCUGGUCUAUGAUAAUGCAUGCAUGUGGUUGUGGAGAGAAGUUGUUUGACUUGUUAAGGAGGGACUUGUCACACUUGUAUAUUGUUGUGUGCGGAUAGUGACCUAAAGUGAAAAUCGUCACAUAGCUUGUUUUUAGCUUCCUUUUGCCAUUUAUCCCUCCUGUAAUGCAGUAAAUAU
rnacentral:lncRNA from 1 species